rnacentral:rRNA from 1 species
AACAGGAUUAGAUACCCUGGUAGUCCACGCUGUAAACGAUGUCGACUUGGAGGUUGUGCCCUUGAGGCGUGGCUUCCGGAGCUAACGCGUUAAGUCGACCGCCUGGGGAGUACGGCCGCAAGGUUAAAACUCAAAUGAAUUGACGGGGGCCCGCACAAGCGGUGGAGCAUGUGGUUUAAUUCGAUGCAACGCGAAGAACCUUACCUACUCUUGACAUCCAGAGAAUUUGCUAGAGAUAGCUUAGUGCCUUCGGGAACUCUGAGACAGGUGCUGCAUGGCUGUCGUCAGCUCGUGUUGUGAAAUGUUGGGUUAAGUCCCGCAACGAGCGCAACCCUUAUCCUUUGUUGCCAGCGAGUAAUGUCGGGAACUCAAAGGAGACUGCCGGUGAUAAACCGGAGGAAGGUGGGGAUGACGUCAAGUCAUCAUGGCCCUUACGAGUAGGGCUACACACGUGCUACAAUGGCAUAUACAAAGAGAAGCGAACUCGCGAGAGCAAGCGGACCUCAUAAAGUAUGUCGUAGUCCGGAUUGGAGUCUGCAACUCGACUCCAUGAAGUCGGAAUCGCUAGUAAUCGUAGAUCAGAAUGCUACGGUGAAUACGUUCCCGGGCCUUGUACACACCGCCCGUCACACCAUGGGAGUGGGUUGCAAAAGAAGUAGGUAGCUUAACCUUCGGGAGGGCGCUUACCACUUUGUGAUUCAUGACUGGAGUGAAGUCGUAACAAGGUAACC